rnacentral:rRNA from 1 species
AGAGUUUGAUCCUGGCUCAGGACGAACGCUGGCGGCGUGCUUAACACAUGCAAGUCGAACGAGAGGAGAAGGAAGCUUGCUUCUUUCAAAUCUAGUGGCAAACGGGUGAGUAACACGUAAACAACCUGCCUUCAGGAUGGGGACAACAGACGGAAACGACUGCUAAUACCGAAUACGUUCCUUAGGUCGCAUGACUUUAGGAAGAAAGGGUGGCCUCUACUUGUAAGCUAUCGCCUGAAGAGGGGUUUGCGUCUGAUUAGGUAGUUGGUGAGGUAACGGCCCACCAAGCCGACGAUCAGUAGCCGGUCUGAGAGGAUGAACGGCCACACUGGAACUGAGACACGGUCCAGACUCCUACGGGAGGCAGCAGUGGGGAAUCUUCCGCAAUGGGCGAAAGCCUGACGGAGCAACGCCGCGUGAGUGAUGACGGCCUUCGGGUUGUAAAGCUCUGUGAUCGGGGACGAACGGUCAGCAGACGAAUACUCUGCUGAAGUGACGGUACCCGAAUAGCAAGCCACGGCUAACUACGUGCCAGCAGCCGCGGUAAUACGUAGGUGGCAAGCGUUGUCCGGAAUUAUUGGGCGUAAAGCGCGCGCAGGCGGCUUCUUAAGUCCAUCUUAAAAGUGCGGGGCUUAACCCCGUGAUGGGAUGGAAACUGAGAGGCUGGAGUAUCGGAGAGGAAAGUGGAAUUCCUAGUGUAGCGGUGAAAUGCGUAGAGAUUAGGAAGAACACCGGUGGCGAAGGCGACUUUCUGGACGACAACUGACGCUGAGGCGCGAAAGCGUGGGGAGCAAACAGGAUUAGAUACCCUGGUAGUCCACGCCGUAAAC